GCCCCUCUUUUCUUUUUUCUUUCUUUCUUUCUUUUUUUUUUAAAGGAGCAGUAGCUGGGUGUGUAAUAGGUUUGCUGCAAAAAAGUGAGGACCAAAGUUCUCAACCCCAGCACCCAUCCAUGUAAAUAUUGCUUGGUGUGGACCUGUAAUCCCAGUGUUCAAGAGAGAAAUUGGAGGUCCUGGAGGAAGCCAGGCUAGCAGAACCAGUGAGCUUGAGUUUGAGUGAGAGAGCCUGCCUUGAUCUAAAGACGGAGAGGACAACACUCAAUGGCCUCCAUGUCUGUGUGCACAGCGUCCUGUGCUCCAAACUCACUAGGUAGAAGAUAACGUGUAGACAGGAGCAAGAAUGGCAGUGUUUGUAGAAGUGCAUACAGACGAGUCGCUGCGGUUCUCACUUGUCCCUUCCCUUGGUGCAGUAAUCGGAAGAUGGCUUUGCUGCAGAGGCCAGUGAGAAAGCUGGCCAAUGUACCAGACUGGUCCUGAGUGGGUAGCCAGUCAGUUAUCAUUUCAUUGUAGGUAAAGUAGAUUUUAAAAGUAUAAUUUGGAAGUAUGGUGAUGGAAAAGAAAGUUGAUAGAAAAAAUACUGACUUCUAGUAGUCUCCCGUCCCAUAGUAGCAGAGGUUUGGACAUGGGGUCCAUCUGCUGGAAACAAGUGUAGUUGGGCAGAGAAUAGGAAAGGUAAUGGUUAACAGUCAUUUGUCAUCAGUCAGCAGUUGGACACCCAGAAAGCAAGCCACUUCCUGAGAGACCUGUGGUAAAAACCAAGAAGGAAAAUGUGCUUGUGUGGGGUUGCAGUGUACGGUAUAUACACGCGAGUGUGCAGAAGGGCAUGCAGGCAAGACAGUGGCUGAAGAAGUUCGGGGCUGUUGAGGACUUUUGGGUGACUUUUGUAGUGUGUUCAAAGCACAAGUAGAAGAUAUAAGACCAAAUUUUCUUAAGGAAGUCAGAUCCUGAAGAAACAGCUUUCCUUAAGGACACCACAGUGACUGAGACUGGCUCAGAGUGGGUAGAGUAAAGCCUUGUACCCAGGUGGCUGUGCCUGCAUCGGUGUGAUCACAGUGAUGACCACGCUAGAAGGUCGGUGUGAGGCUGCUUGAACAGGGAAAGGGCUGAGGUAAAUAGGUUUAUGCAGCAGUAACCAGGAAGGCCCUACUGAGACUAGGUAUAGGAGAAAGUAUGGGACUCUUUCAGCACUGAGUCCCUGGUGGGGCUGGAGAGUUGGUGCAGUGGUUAGCCGUACUUGCUGCACUUGAAAAGGACCCAGGCUCGGUUCCCAGCACCCAAGUCAUGCAGCUUACAACCAGCUGUACCUCCAGUUUCCGGUGACUCUGGGUCCUUUCCUGGCCUUCUAUGGCUACCCACUCACACAGGAUACACAUAUUUGCAUCUGCAGACACACAUGCAUAAGAUAAAAUGAAUAAAUAAACAUUUUAAAACAAUGUCAUUGGUACCAUGUUUACCAUGAGAUGAUGUAGCCCCAAAUUCUGGAACUGCCAGUUUGAGUUCUGGUUCAGUAGAUAACUAUCCGAGUCUCACUUAUAGUGUCUGACAAAUGGCUGACAUCUUGACACUUGCCGAUACCUAUGCUGAAGUCAUCCUGUGAUGGCAACACGAGGCUUGUCACCAGGUAAUGUUUACUCUUAGCAUUCCAGUUGUAACUGCAGCGUCUUUGCGGUUGCUUGAGGCAGUGUCAUUCAGAGAUAGCACACUGAUAAUACAAGGACGUCGGGGCUGAGGGUGGCUCUGAAAGCCCAGCCUCUGUUUGCUUCACUUGCUUCCUGGUGUGCAGAACUCUCAUAGGUUCAAGUUUCGGACCUUUGGUUAGGAGCACUCCGCUGGUAAAGUAAGUGGUCCAGGAUCUGGAAUACUUUUGUCCCUAGGAAUGGAGACAAGUGAUGCUUAGUGUAUAAUUUUUAAGAAAUACUUAAGCAGGACGAAGUGCAAACUCUUAUUUCUUACCAGUGAAGAUAAUUUUCGUGCUUGUUUUGUAUGAGUCAGAAUCUGUAGUUUUAGGGUGUAUACUGCUUUCCAAUUUAGUUAUUGCAUUUGUGUACAUGUGUGUGUGUGAAAAUCAUGGCACAAGUAUGAAUGUCAAAGACCAGCCUUGGGAGUAGGUUCUCACCGUCCAUCCACCAUGUGGUUCUGUGGACAGACGCCUCACCUGACGAGCUGUGUCACAGGCCCCAGACAGAAACUUUCUUAGCCACUUUAUACUGGUUGCAAAUAAGAGGACUGGUGACACAAUUGAUGACGUGGAAGUUGGGGCUUUAGUAGCAAGAAGUCAAGCCUUUCACCCUUUAAAAGGUAGCAAACAAAUUGUUACUGAUAAGUUACCCCCCUUUUAUUUAUUUAUUUAUUUAUUUAUUUAUUUUUUGGUUCUUUUUUUCGGAGCUGGGGACCGAACCCAGGGCCUUGCGCUUCCUAGGUAAGCGCUCUACCACUGAGCUAAAUCCCCAGCCCCUUUCCCCCCCUUUUAAAUACACCAAUUCAAGUCCUGAAGUUCAUGACCGUGGAGACUGUUGAGUUCCGUGUUUGGCCAGAUGAGGGUGCUGGCUCUUCACAGUUCUGGAGCCUGGCCUGGGGGGCAGAUUGUUUCCUUUGCUCCGCCCUUUCUCGACUGACUGCUGGCAAGACAGACCGUUCACAAGUGUUUGAUUGUGCUCUGUUCCUCUAUAUUGAUCUUUCUCAAAAGAAAAACCUUCUGCUUUUUGUAUACAGUUUUUAAAUAGGGAAAUUUUAAAAUAAAUGAUGUAAUUUAGAGGAACGUGGUAACUUGAAAAAAAUAAAUGUACAUUUAUUCAUAAUUUUUCUUAUUAAUAAUGGGUGUUGCAAUUUACUGAGAAAAAUACCAUAGCUAACUUUCAUUGUAAAAACUAUCUACAUCAGUGCAUAUUAGUUAUACUCGUCUUGCUACGUGAACUUUAAACUUUCUUUCAUAACUCCUGAGAUUGGCCAUAAUUUUGGUCUCGAAUUCAUCCUUGGACCUUGCCUGCUAUUCUCACUCGAGGCAGUCCAAUUCUGUUGUCUCACUGUGGACUUUAAGCCUUUAAUAAGCUCUAUUAUUGCUCUUCACAACUUGACUUUCAAAAAUGUCGUAAACUUGUUGGGGUGGAAGGAUGAGAACUUUGCUGUACAGGCCUUUUAAAAACAAACAAAGGCCAGGCAUGGUGGCACAUGCCUGUGUCUCUGCAGUUGGGAAGCUGGUACAGGAGAAUCUGCAUUUGAUAUUAGAGAGACCUUAUCUCAAAGAACGAAAGCCCAGCCAGCCAGCAAGUGGACCAUCAACAUUGUGUCUUUCAUUUCCUUAAGACUGUUCAGCUGAUACCAAAUAGCUGUCUUCACCCUUACCCUGUGAGCCCUCGUCUUCUGUGUUGGGUCUGAAACCUUAGAGAUGUUAGGCGAGCUGCCCUUGGGGCAGUUCCCAGCCUUGAUAAGCAGCUAGUAACUACUUAAUAAGUCUGUGGUCUCUGCAUCCCUCCACCCAUCCGGACCACUCACGUCUUCCUUUUACUUAGGCUCAUGGGAAUUUUAUUGUUAUUUGACGCUACAAGAGUCCUACUUCAGAGGAGAGAGAGAGAGAGAUCAUACACAUACAUACAUACAUACAUACAUACAUACAUACAUACAUACAUACAUAUUUUAAAGUAUUCUGUGAUUCAGGAAUUUAUAAUCAGACCACCAUAUACAUAAAUGCUUCUGCUCUGUUUAAUAUGGUGCAUAAAUGUACGUGCAGUUUUCUUAUCAUUAAUUAAUUAGUCACCAUCUUUGCAACAGUUUCCUUAUUAGAACAUAACCUUUUGCUAUAAUUAAGAAGGUGGGGUAUUUUAUAGCAAAGCCUCGUUCACACUGAUAUCCCUUUGAAUCACCAGACUGCAUUUCAAUUUGCCACCUGUCUCUAUAGACUUGUGUGUGUGUUGUCAGCCUCAAGAUCUUAGUAACUAGAAUCAGACUGGAAACCAUAGCAACAUGAGUUGCUGAAAGGUCCCUGAAAAUGUAUAGUUGUUCUGGCUUCAGUAAGUAACUUAAUUUUGUCACUCAGAAUAAGUGACUAAUUCAACUUAGAGUGGUGGAUAUUUUAAGGUAUAAUUCAGCUUAGAGUGGCGGAUAUUUUAAGGUAUACUUCAACAGACUGUUUACUGGAAGGCAGCAUUAGAAGUGUGGAGCGGCUGGGCAGUGGUGCUGCACAUACGCCUUUAAGCCCAGGACAUGUGAGGCAAAGGCAGGCAGAGACACAGAGUGAAUUCCAGGACAGCCAGGGCUACACAGAGAAAACCUGUCCUGAAAAAACAAAAGGGAGGCGUGGUGAGGCUGCAGGACACCUCACCACACCUGCAGUCCUUGUGGCUUCACUUGGUUGGUUUGGCUCCUGGGCCCCAUGUCUGCUCCUAGCAGGUACGCAGUUAACUGGAACAAGAAAGCAGAGUAUCGCCUGUGUGCAUAACUGACUCUGGGCCUGAAGUUUCUGAGCCAAAUGUAUUUUCAGACAUUUACUUUAAAAAAAUAGUUUAUUUCUAAUUAGUAUGUUUUUAAAAAGGAAAGACAACUGAAGAGUUGAUUAAAGUGAGAUGUAGACCAUGUUUUCUGUGCUCUCGGUAUAGUCCUUGAAACUGUUUUAAAGUUCUCGACUUCUCUUCUUUGCUUUAUUUCCCAUUUAAAGUACUAUUUGAAUCUGCAUCCAUCUACUGAAAUUCUAUAUUCAAAAUCAGUUUUUGUCUUACCAGAGGCUUUUAGGAGAGUUGAAAUCAAAAUUUCGUUUGUUAAAGAGCACACAUUUCUCACCUUCACCUUCCAAUUGUUCAGAACUUUAAAAUAGACUGUGUGGUGAUACAAUAGGAAAUAUAUUUAGGAUUUAUUACAUUUUUUAAAAACAUUGCUCAGGAUUAAAGAAUGGUAUUGCACUCCUGCCCUCUAGUGGUUGAAAAAGAUACUGUGAGUAUGCGAUUACAAGUAACUACUCUUGGUGUCAGACUCCUUCCCUUUACUCCUCGGUGCAUUUACUAGUUUACUGAUUUGUCAACAGUGUAUUUGUGUGUCUUUAUCAAGACUGUAGAUGUGCCCUUAUACUAUUAGUCAUGCAGACUCUUCCUUAGCAAUGGGUUCACGUAUGUGGAGUCCUAAGGUGCAGUCGCAGUGGGCUCAGCCAGUGCUCACACAGGACCGGCAGCUCCUGAGAGUCGUCCCCAGACUUCCAUAUACGACCAGUCAAUAUCAUAUUUGGUCACCACUCAUCGGAGCAACGCUGGGUUCAUUGAAGUUACAGUGUAUAAUAGAAACUGUAAAGAGGGGUGAUAGCUCGGUGGGUUUGCACAUGCUCUGUAAGCACAGGGACCCUGAGUUUGAAUCCCAGCCUGACGUGGAACUCUAGCACCAGGGAUGAAGAUGCAUAGGUCCUGAGAGCUGCAGCCAGCACAGCUGAGACAGCAGGUUCCUGGGUCAGUAAGAGAACCUGUCUUGAAGAAGCAAGGUAGGCCGUGAAGAGGAGGACACCUAUGCUCUCCUGACCUCUCUGUAGAUCACAUGACCACACGGUCAUGCGCCUUGCCACCCCACUCCCCCUCCACCAAGUAAAGGCUGGUAGAGGGGCAGAAAAGGGCAGGCAUGCCAUAUAUGCAGGUGUGAAACACACUGCAUGACUAGAAAUUACAAAGCUAAUUUAAGAAGUGCUUUAAUAAUAAAAAUAUUAAAACAUUGAAGUAAAAUAGGAAAAGUAAAAAGUGACCAAUCCUUUCUGUUAUUAUUUACCUUUAAAUACCCUUUCCGUCUUCUCUUAACACACUUUUUAUAAAUCUGUUUUCAUCACGGUAUCCUCAUUUUGAAAACAGAGCCAUGCUACUUUUAGUCUUUUGAAUGUAGGGGAAGAAAAUACGAACAUUAAAUAUUAAAUUGUAUCAAUCUGCCUUUCACAUAGCUUUAAUGUUAUUUUAGAACCAAGAACAAUGGUUGACUCUGAAAUGUACUAGUGCUUCCAGGGGAAGGGCGUUUGCACUGGCUGCCCGUGGGUACCUGACGCUCGGUCAUGCUUCCUCCAGCUCUGAAUUGUCCGGCUCAGUCAGUAACUAAGGUCCUUUCCUUUGGAGUACUUCACUCCUUCUGUGAGCUUAACUUUGUAUAUUUUAUCAUGUAUUUACAUUUAUGAUUUAUAAAUCAGGAUAUUAUUAUACAUAUUUGAUGGCAUGUGGGAUGAAUUUAAGGAAAAAAGUCCUUUAACGGAAGGAUGUGUCAUGGACAUUUCUUAUGUCAAGCUUCUGAUAGUUUCCAGGGUAAUAGUGAUAAGAAAAACAGGCAUUGUUCCUCAGUUAGACUAGUAAUUUCACAGGCAAUACACACACACACACACACACACACACACACACACACACACACACACACACACACACACACCACUGGGGGCAGAAAAUAGCUUGCCAGGAAAGAGCCCUCUAGGACGAAGAGAUUCGUGAGGUAUGAGAGAGCCUAGCGUGCCUGGAACGGGACUAGAGGGAAAGGAGACGCGCUUGUUAGGAGACUGCUGCAUUUGUACAGAUGAGAGAAGGCAGUGGAUGGACUGCUAGGCGGACCACGUACCUCAGCAGUGGGUCAGAGGACAGGAGUAGUUCCUAGGGUGGUGAUCUCUAGAAUUGGAAGUCUAUAGAUUAUUGCAGGCAGAUGGUAUGUGUGAUGGUGUGGGAAAGCCAGGUGGAAAGGGAGUGGGAGCUACCAAUCCACAGCUCAGGAAUGAGCCAGGAAAGUAAGGUGGUGACAUUAGUAUGGUGAUGCAGCUUAACCCAGUAACAGCCUGCCCUCCAGUCUUCCCUUCGAUCAGUGGUAGGUAGAGGACGGUGUGCUAAUGUUUUAUUGACAUGAGUCACCUCUUUAUGAAAGAUAAGUAACAUUUGGGAGAGCUCCACGAGAAAGGCUGGUCAGAAUUUUCCUUCAUGGGCUUUCUGUGAUGAGCCUUCCUCUGCGCUUCAUUGCAUUCUAGAGGGAUUUGUAUGACUGCUUUAUCCUUUCCCAAAGGCAUUGAUUCAGUGCCUUAUUAAUUGUUGAAAUCUUGUCAAUUCCCCACUUUCCUCACGUCCCCACUCAUAGACUUUUAAAAUUAUUCUUCAGCUAACUCUUGAUCUUAGAAUUAUUUUUCCAUAGGCUUUAUUAAAUUUCCACGCUGCUUUGGUAGAAGAAAACUAUGCAAUGGACACUGUGCCUUUUGUACUUUUUAAUUUUGAAGUAAUCUUGAAACCCUUUUAACGUGGUACUAUUUAGCUCUUACUAUUUACUGGUGACAUCAUAUUUUCAAUUUUAAGAAUACCGUUUGAAGUCAGCAAGAGCUUUUCCCAUUCAAACAUUGCAAAUAAUUAAAUCAGCUGUAUUACGUUUCCUCUCCUUCCCCCUUCUCUUCUCUUCUGAUUCCCACAUAAUGUUUUUAUUAGCUACUCAUGUUCAGCUGACUGUAAAGCAUUGUGCCCGACCUUACAGAAGAGAGGCUGGCUGUCCUUCAUGAGAACCUUCUGUUUCUGUAGCUCUUGGCAGAGAGCAGGGACAGCCUUUCGCUGCUGUGCAUGGGUCUGACUGGGACACUGGAGUGGAAAUGUCAGCCUUAUCAAUCAGUGUGGCUAAUCAUGUCGCUGCCAUGUUGAAGAAGUGACAGUGACUCAUAGCCACAAGUCCAUGAUGUCAGGGUCAUAACAAGCUCCCUAUAUGAUCUCCCAGUGUGUCUGCCUUUGUUCUUGUGAGACAACCACUAAGAGUGUUUUAAAUGAGAUCCAUUCCCACCCCCAAGAAACAUUCCGAGACAGGCCCAGGGCUAGAUGAAAAAAGAAGCGGCUGCAGGAGCCGUUUCCAAAGACAGGAAGACACUAAAGGAAGCCUUACAACAAGAGAAGCUCAGAGUGUGCUGACUCAUUAUCUUCUAGGACACCAGUGUGUUAAGAGCAAGAGCUGACACGAGGCUGUGUUGAACUAACAGGCUUCUACACGGGAAAGGACCAAAAGAUGAGGAAGCCAGCCUAUAAAAUAGAAAAAAAUCUCCUCAGCUGUUCAUCUGACAGCAGAUUAAUAUCUAGAACACAUCAGAAAUUAAACACCAAAAGGACAGAUAAUCCAGUCAGCAAGUUGGCAAACAGACUGAAUAAUUACAUUAAAAUAAUACUCAAUAUCUUAAGCCAUGAGAAAAUGCAAAUCAAAGCUACACAUUCUGUCUCACCCUAGUCAGAUGGCUAUCAUGAAGAAAACAAAUCUAAACAGAAAACAAAAACAAAUGCUGGGUUAGGCUGUAGAGGGAAAGGAACUCUUACUGUUAUUGGGGAUGUAAAUUAGCACAGUCAUUAUGCAAAUGAGUGUUGAUGUUCCUCCAAAAGCUAGAAAUAGAACUACCAUAUGAUUUAGCUGUACCACCCCUGGGAAGGAAUCCAAGUCAGCAUAGGGCGAAGAGACUCUCUCACCAUGCUUAUUUCUAUUCAGGAUGCUGUGGGAUGGGGUCGGUGCCCAUCGGCAGGUGAGUGGGUAGAGAAAACAGGUGUAUACAACCAGUGUGGUGAUUCAGCAUAAGAAGAAUGGAGUCAGGUCAUUUGCAGGAAAAUAGAUGGAGCUGAGAUCACCAUACAUGUUAAACAAAGUACAGCCGUCUACAGCAGACACAGCAUGUUCUCUUUCAUGAAAAACCUAAGGAGAAAGGGAAGAAAGGGAGAGCUGUUAGAGAGGAGGAAUGAGGUAGGAUUGGCCAGCAAGUAGACAAGGUAAUAGGUAAACAUGGUCAAAAUAUGUACAUGUGUGAGAAUGUACAGUUUUUGGCUGAUAGUCAUUGUCC
rnacentral:sRNA from 1 species